CGCGGCCUAUCAGCUUGUUGGUGGGGUAAUGGCUCACCAAGGCGACGACGGGUAGCCGGCCUGAGAGGGUGACCGGCCACACUGGGACUGAGACACGGCCCAGACUCCUACGGGAGGCAGCAGUGGGGAAUAUUGCACAAUGGGCGCAAGCCUGAUGCAGCGACGCCGCGUGAGGGAUGAAGGCCUUCGGGUUGUAAACCUCUUUCAGUAGGGAAGAAGCUGAUUCCUUUUGGGGUUGGUGACGGUACCUGCAGAAGAAGCGCCGGCUAACUACGUGCCAGCAGCCGCGGUAAUACGUAGGGCGCAAGCGUUAUCCGGAAUUAUUGGGCGUAAAGAGCUCGUAGGCGGUUUGUCGCGUCUGCCGUGAAAGUCCGGGGCUUAACUCCGGAUCUGCGGUGGGUACGGGCAGACUAGAGUGCAGUAGGGGAGACUGGAAUUCCUGGUGUAGCGGUGAAAUGCGCAGAUAUCAGGAGGAACACCGAUGGCGAAGGCAGGUCUCUGGGCUGUAACUGACGCUGAGGAGCGAAAGCAUGGGGAGCGAACAGGAUUAGAUACCCUGGUAGUCCAUGCCGUAAACGUUGGGCACUAGGUGUGGGGGACAUUCCACGUUUUCCGCGCCGUAGCUAACGCAUUAAGUGCCCCGCCUGGGGAGUACGG
rnacentral:rRNA from 1 species